AUACCGGCAGCUCGAGUGAUGGCCGCUAUUAUUGGGCCUAAAGCGUCCGUAGCCGGCUAGACAGGUCCGUCGGGAAAUCCACCCGCUCAACGGGUGGGCGUCCGGCGGAAACCAGCUAGCUUGGGACCGAGCGACCUGAGGGGUACGUCUGGGGUAGGAGUGAAAUCCCGUAAUCCCGGACGGACCAUCGGUGGCGAAAGCGCCUCAGGAGAGCGGAUCCGACGGUGAGGGACGAAAGCUAGGGUCUCGAACCGGAUUAGAUACCCGGGUAGUCCUAGCCGUAAGCGAUGCUCGCUAGGUGUGGCGCUGGCUACGAGCCAGCGCUGUGCCGUAGGGAAGCCGUGAAGCGAGCCGCCUGGGAAGUACGUCCGCAAGGAUGAA
rnacentral:rRNA from 2 species